CGGACGGGUGAGUAACGCGUGGGUAACCUGCCUUAUACAGGGGGAUAACAGUCAGAAAUGGCUGCUAAUACCGCAUAAGCGCACAGAGCUGCGUGGCUCAGUGUGAAAAACUCCGGUGGUAUAAGAUGGACCCGCGUUGGAUUAGCUAGUUGGUGGGGUAACGGCCCACCAAGGCGACGAUCCAUAGCCGGCCUGAGAGGGUGAACGGCCACAUUGGGACUGAGACACGGCCCAGACUCCUACGGGAGGCAGCAUG
rnacentral:rRNA from 1 species